UUGGGCGGGUUGCUUGUCACAUGUGUGGAUUCAGAGUACAGCUGGCAAAGGCCCUGCCUUACCAUAUGCUUUCAUCCAGAUGGUCACGGGUCAACUCUAUUCCAGCAUGUCAGAAGCUUCCUUUGUUUUGCAACCCAGAUAGUAUGGAAGAUAUCCAGAUCAAGAGUGGACUGAGAACAAUUUUGGAGACUUUAUGCUACUUGAGGAUUGGGCAGAUUCUCUAAGGACGGACACCCAGCUGAAGAUACAGAGUGCUCCCAGAAUUAGUGCAUGCUAAUCAUCCAAGGAGUAAUCCGCAAAAUCCAAUCACCCAAGUCAAGGAACUACCAAAGAGUGGUUAGUCAACAGCAUUUGUUUUUCACAGAUUUAUAUAUUUGAAUGACUCACCCACAGUUGACUGACUGAGGGGGGAAAAGGGGAUGAGGGGAAUUAGGAUGUGAACCAUCAGACUGAAUGAGAGAAUUAAAGCAAACCAAGAUUUCAAAGUGCUCUUAACUAUCUGUUAGAAAGCCAGUAAUAGUCCAUAUUGGAUCUGUGUAGUUUGCAUGGGUCAGAAAAGAAUACGUCCGAAAGUGAAUAAAUAAAGAAAUGAAAGAAAAGCCAUUUAUUAAAUAUCUAUUUUGCUCCAUUAAAAAAAAAAAAAGACCCACUUCACCUAUAUAGUGAACCACCAAUUUGAGAUCUCAAGAGCUUUCUGGAGAACUUUGUAAUCUUGUGAGACAUGGGAAACACUGGUACAGGACUGCUCUCAUCAAAGAGGUACUCUAGGGGCAAAGCAGAAUUGUAACAGCUGAAAAGAUGUGAGAUGCACAGAUUUAGAUACAACUCCACUCCAU